UUAAGUUCAGCGGGUAGUCCUACCUGAUUUGAGGCCAGAUGUCAAGAAUAUUAAUCGUAAGAUCAAUGGAUUAGAAAGCGGUCUUUAGUCCUGCAACGCGGCCAUCCGAAGAUGUCCUUAGCGAAAUACUUAUUACGCCAAGUCAAACCAUGUCGCGAGACAGAUCCAGCUAUUACUUUUAAGACGAGCCGACUUAUCAU
rnacentral:misc_RNA from 1 species